UGCCUGGCGGUAGGUUACACAUGUCAGUCGAGCGGUACAGGCAUUUUGAUUCAGCUUGCUGGAUCUCGCGCUGACGAGCGGCGGACGGGUGAGUAACGCGUAGGAAUCUACCUAGUAGAAGGGGAUAGCCCGGGGAAACUCGGAUUAAUACCGUAUACGUCCUUAGGGAGAAAGGGGGCUUAGCUUUGAUGCUCUCGCUAUUAGAUGAGCCUGCGUAAGAUUAGCUUGUUGGUGAGGUAAAGGCUCACCAAGGCUUCGAUCUUUAGCUGGUCUGAGAGGACGAUCAGCCACAUUGGGACUGAGACACGGCCCAGACUCCUACGGGAGGCAGCAGUGGGGAAUAUUGGACAAUGGGCGCAAGCCUGAUCCAGCCAUACCGCGUGUGUGAAGAAGGCCUUCGGGUUGUAAAGCACUUUAAGUAAGGAAGAAAAGUAUAUUGUUCAUACCAAUGUACCGUGACAUUACUUACAGAAUCAGGACCGGCUAAUUCCGUGCCAGCAGCCGCGGUAAUACGGAAGGUCAAGCGUUAAUCGGAAUUACUGGGCGUAAAGCGCGCGUAGGUGGUUUAUUCAGUUUGGGUGUGAAAGCCCCGGGCUCCACCUGGGAACUGCUUCAAAAUUGGAUCCUUAGAGUUCGAACGAAGGAGGUCAAAUCCCAGGGUACGGGGGAAUGCGUUAUUU
rnacentral:rRNA from 1 species